rnacentral:rRNA from 1 species
CAGCACCUCAAGUGGUCAGGAUGAUUAUUGGGCCUAAAGCAUCCGUAGCCGGCGCUGUAAGUUUUCGGUUAAAUCUGUACGCUCAACGUACAGGCUGCCGGGAAUACUGCAGCGCUAGGGAGUGGGAGAGGUAGACGGUACUCGGUAGGAAGGGGUAAAAUCCUUUGAUCUAUUGAUGACCACCUGUGGCGAAGGCGGUCUACUAGAACACGUCCGACGGUGAGGGAUGAAAGCUGGGGGAGCAAACCGGAUUAGAUACCCCUGUAGUCC